AUUGAACGCUGGCGGCAGGCUUAACACAUGCAAGUCGAGCGGGGUGAUGGUGCUUGCACUAUCACUUAGCGGCGGACGGGUGAGUAAUGCUUAGGAAUCUGCCUAUUAGUGGGGGACAACAUCUCGAAAGGGAUGCUAAUACCGCAUACGUCCUACGGGAGAAAGCAGGGGAUCACUUGUGACCUUGCGCUAAUAGAUGAGCCUAAGUCGGAUUAGCUAGUUGGUGGGGUAAAGGCCUACCAAGGCGACGAUCUGUAGCGGGUCUGAGAGGAUGACCAGCCACACUGGAACUGAGACACGGUCCAGACUCCUACGGGAGGCAGCAGUGGGGAAUAUUGCACAAUGGGCGCAAGCCUGAUGCAGCCAUGCCGCGUGUAUGAAGAAGGCCUUCGGGUUGUAAAGUACUUUCAGCGGGGAGGAAGGCGGUGGAGUUAAUAACUUCACCGAUUGACGUUACCCGCAGAAGAAGCACCGGCUAACUCCGUGCCAGCCGCCGCAGUAA
rnacentral:rRNA from 1 species